rnacentral:lncRNA from 1 species
UUGAGCCCGACGCGUCGUGGUACGUGCCCAUGAGGCCCUGCAUUGUGCCCCAGAACGCAGGAAUGAAAGCCCUUGCCGUGGGCAAGACGCCCAAGUGGCCUGAGAGGCUAAGCACCGCACCGGAGAGGCUGAGAACCAUCCACGGAUCCAGCACCGGGAAAUUCAACGAGGACACCAAAGUGUGGAAAGAGAGAGUGAAACACUACAAGCGCAUCGUACC